UAAAAGUUUUAUUUUUGCUUUAUUCUAAGUAAUUUUAUUUUAUAAAUAUAAUUUGAUAGAUUUUAUUUUGGUAUUAUAAAAAAUUAUUUAAAUGUAAUUUAUGUAAAAGAAAUAAAAAUAAAAAUAGCAAAAAUUGUGCCAGCAGCUGCGGUUAGACAAUUGUUUUAGCUUAGUAUUUUUUAAAUUUAUGAUAUUUUGAUUGUUGUUACAAAAAAAAUUUAUUUUAAGUGAAAUUUAAUAAAUUUAUAUAUUUCUAUAGAUAUUUAAUCAAGAAAAUUAGUAGCUCAGACUAGGAUUAGAUACCCUAUUAUGGUUAAUAAAAUAAAAGUUUAGAGUAGUAAAUGUUAAGUUCAGGAAACUCAAAAAAUUUGGCGGUGUUUAUUCAAAAUAGAGGAAUAUGUUUAUAAUCGAUAACCCACGUUUAUUCAACUUAAUUUAAUUUAUUUUGUAUACUUCCGUUUAAAAAAAUUUUUAUAAAAUAAAUUUUAAUUUUCUUUAAUGAAAUAAAUCAGGUCAAGGUGCAGAUUAUAAUUAAGACAAAAUGUAUUACAAUAAACUUAUUUUUGGAAUUAUUAUUAAAAAUUUAAUGAAAUUGGAUUUACAAGUAAAAAAAAUUAAAUAAAAUUUUUUUGAAAUUAGUUAAUAAAUAUGUACAUAUCGCCCGUCAUUCUCCUAUGGAGACAAGUCGUAACAAAGUAGAUUUACUGGAAAGUAAAUCUGGUUUCAA
rnacentral:ncRNA from 1 species